UGGGGUGUGGCUUACUGGUAGAGCACCUGCCUACCAUGCAUAAGGCCUUGGGUCCAAUCCCCAGCACCACAA
rnacentral:tRNA from 1 species